CGUCCGGGAGGGUGUGAGUGUGUGUCUGUGUGUGCUACGCGUAUGUGGUUGUGCCGUGCCACCUCUUCGCGAGCGCAUUGCAGCGCGGCUCUCUCGGCUGGCUAGGGAGGGAGCGAGCGAGCGAGAGCGAGGGGAAGCCGCCGGCGUAAGAUCGGGCUGUGAGACGGGGAUUGACACGAAGGAUUAAAAAGGCCUCACCUUUCUGAGCUCUGAGUCAGCAAAGGGUGGAACAGGAUGAAGUGAUGAGAAAGGAGUAGCUCUUUCUGAUUGCGUCUUUCCAGCAUCUAUGAAUGAAACAGGAGUGUCUUUUUCUCCCUUCGGCGGUGCAGCAAGAACAGAAAUCUUCAAGUCUAGCUACAGCUCUUAUUGGUCUUCUACUCAAGCACUCCCCAGCCUGGUCCUGUUUAACUUCUCAUCUCAGACAAGGCUCUUUUGUAUGCUUGGAACCAUUGUCUUGCUGCAUAAUCCACAUGUGGUUCAACUUCCGUUAAUGAUAGAUGGACUGAUAUUCUCUGGUAGAGCAGAAAUCAUGGUUUCUUCAGUUAUGGCAAGCCAUCCAAGUCCUGAAACAACAAACCAAACCAUGACACUGCCACCACCAUGCUUGACAGUUGGUAUGAUGUUCUUAUGGAAUAUGGUAUUUGGUUUCCUCCAAAGAUGACAUCACCAGCGUAGACUGAAAACAUCCAUCUUUUGCUCAUCUACCACAGAACAUUUCUCCAUAGGUCUGGAGGAUCACCCAAGUGCUUUUUGGGAGACCUGACAUCACUAUCAGUGUUCUUUUUCUAUCUUCCUAAUCUCCCAUGAAUCCCAUUUUUACCCAAUAUUUUUCUGAUGAUGGAGUUGUGAACACUGACUUUAGCUGAGCCAGGAGAGGCCUGCAAAUCCCUGGAUGUUUUUUCUGGAGUUCUUCAUAACUUCCCAGUUGUAUGCUGCACUCUUGGAAUUAUUUUGACUGGGCAGCCACUCCUGAGAAAGUUUGCUAUUGGCCCAGGUCAUCUUCAUUUCAAACAUACAUCUCUUGACUAUGGAUUGAUGGAACCUUAAAGCUUUAGAAAUGGUUUCGUGACUUUAUCCAGAUUGCUAUCCAUUACUGAUUUAUGGUGAUCCUCAAGUUCUUUGGAGCAACAUGUAACAUGCCUGUAGAAUCUACAGUAUGUGGUGAAAACUUCAAUAUGAUGAAGCAAGUUAAAGUUUACGUAGGACAUGGAUGGCGCAAAUCAACCCUGAUAGUUUAACAAAAUAAUCACACAAUGAUCCCUAAUUAUCUAUUGAAUUGAAUUGAUGAAACCAGGAGGCACAAUUACAUUCUCACCCAGGCACUUUGCAUGUUGGACAACUAUUGUUGAUGAAGUGAAAUGAAAUAAGCACCAAACUUUAGAGAUAUUUGUUCACUCAAACUUCUUUUAUAUAUCAGUAGAACUGAUAUGAAUCUCUGGUAAGAUUCACUGAUAAAUAAAUGCAAACUUUCAGAAAAUUCAAAUGCUAACUCACAGAUUUGUGCCUCUCUGUCAUGUAUUUCUUUAGUAACAAAGGAGGUAGGUCCCUUGGAAUGCUCUUUUCAAUUAUUGUUUAUUCUUUGUAUUUAAACUUUCAUAAUGAGUCAUAUAAUUUUGGCAGUCUUCCUAACCUGAUAUCCUCCAAAGGUAUUGGACUUCACCUGCUAUAAAUCACAAUCAGAAUCUCCAAAAGGCAACAGGCUGAGGAAGGUCAUCCUUGGCUUUGACAAGAUUACAUUUCUCUAUACUCCCUGUUCCCUGUUGCAACUCUUGAGAGCAAUUUAAUUUUCCUUGAGAGCAAACUUGAUUAAAAUUUGGUAUGUUUGUCCCCAUCCAGAUAUAAUCAAGCUUGGAUUUGGUUUAGUGAUUCCAGCUGAUCAUCCCAGGUUUAAAAAGUGCCCCUUGUUCUAUACUUCUGAAGAUCUUUAAAGCAGAAGAUCAGUCAUUUAUUUGGAAAUGAACUGGUAUACAGAGAAAAAUCACUGCACAGUUUCUUCUGCUAACAAAAUUUUGGUUGGGCAUUCCCAAAUGGAGAGUUAGUUAGUAAAAGAACAAAGCCAGUUCAAGUCUGAGCUUUGCCAUGUUUUGUGGGUUAAUUCCAAAUGAAGCUUAAAUAUGCAAAACUACCUUUCUGUUGUCUUUGUCACCACUGGAAUUUUGACUAUAAGUUCCUUAUAGCCCAUAUGGGUGGUAGAUUUGUCGUUCUGUAAAGUUUCAUGUCAUUAUGCGUCAAUCCCAAACAUAUUUGCUUAAAAAUAAUUUGUUAAAUUCCGUGAAAUGUAUUUCCAGUUGUUUUCAUUUAAGAACAACUUUCUUAGAAAAAGUGCCAUUGGUGGACUAGCACAGAUCUCUUUUAUUGUACUUGGUUUCCAAACUUCUCUCAGUGUAAAUAUCACUGUAUUUAUUUCAUAUUUCUAAUUCAUGUAUCCCUAAUUGUCUUAGACAUUUUCCAGAUGAGGUGUACACUUAGUCUUUGAAUGGUGGGCUAGGCGCAGCAUCCUAAAGAGUGGUUGGAACCAGGAGGAAGACAUCAGUGGGCACAGAGUAAAGCUACAUUUAAUUAAAAUCCAUUUUAUUUACAAUUUGACAGCAAUUUUUAGAGUGAUUCUGGGAGCUACACCCAAGGCUAUGGUGAUGGGUUUCAUGCACUCUUAGGGCAUGAAGCAUUGCGCUUCUCUCUUAGAUCAAUUUCAUAUUAAAAUAUAAUUGAAAUCAUUUUUGUUUGCUUUAUCUUUCCAGUUUCAUAUUCUGGUGUUCUUCAAAUGACAUUUAAAUUUUACAUUUAAAAAACAAGAAAACCACAAAACACGUUUUAAUAGCUGUAGUUGCUAAUUGCAGAGAAAGGGGGAUUGGAGUAAGCAUGAUAUUGCAAAUCUGAAAUAAUUGUUCAUAAAUCAACACUAACUAUGCACUUGCUCCAGAUUCCAGCUAGUAAGUUUACCAUUACAAUGUUUACACUUAGAAAAGAGGAUGCUAUAGAAAGGAGAGAUUAGAUUUUUUUUAUAUACACUUUGUCACAAAAUUGCAACACUAAGUGAAAUGUGUAAUGUUUGAUUUGGUCAAUAGUUUAUUGCUAAUGACUAUGGAUGAUUCACAGGCCUUAAUCAUGUGGGGACUAUAUGUCUAACUUUAUGUGUCUCAGUACCUCAGUGACUUCACUGAAGUUAUUUUAGACAGAAAACUUACCUAGAGAAUAGAGAGCUAUGUUUUUUCUAUUCCUUUGAUUGGCAUAUCCAUAUGGUUUAAACACUGCAUAUAAGUAUU